AGCUAAUGGGGCCUCCCGCUGCUGCCGCGCCGCAGGAGCACAAUUACUGUUCUCAUCCUGAAGCAAAGUUCUUAACCCGAAGUACUAUUUCUGGGUUAGCGGAGUAUGUAACCUGAAGCGUCUGUAACCCGAGGUACCACUGUACUCCUAUCAUCCCUUCCCAUUGGCCAUUCAGGCUGGGUCUGCUGCUAAUUAUAUUCAAAAAACAUCUGCAGAGCUCCAUGUUGGCCACCGCUGGUUUAUGCUGUUUAAAAAUCUGUUGGAUACCACCAUAAUCUUUGGUCCUUGAAGUGUAUUAUUGAUUGUUUUGUAUGGAUGUUUCACUGUUUUGUCUCUGUAACUGAUUUUUCAAAGUGGUGGAAGUAUAUUUUGAUGCGCCAGGGUCGUUUAUUUUGAACUUAUUAAGCUUUGUUACAAAUGCUGUAUAUUUUGAUGCUUGCGUUUCUUUUGCCACCUUGGGUCAACUCAGCCCAGAAAGGCAGCUUAUAAAUAUUUAAAUAAAUGCAUGUG